rnacentral:tRNA from 1 species
UAGACGGAAGCUCGUUGGUUGGAGCGUUUAGCUGUUAACUAAAAGAUUAUAGGAUCGAGGCCUAUCCGUCUAG